rnacentral:ncRNA from 1 species
CCUUAUCGCGAGCAGGGGAGGAAAUUGGUCCCGUGAACCUGCAGCAACCUGUUAUUUUCUCGAAGAAAAUAAUAAGGUGCUACGUCCAACAGACGCUGUUGUCUGAAAGAUGAGG